rnacentral:rRNA from 1 species
GUCGAACGCGAAAGUCCCCUUCGGGGGAUGAGUAGAGUGGCGCACGGGUGAGUAACACGUAGGUAAUCUACCUUUGGAUGGGGAAUAACCACCGGAAACGGUGGCUAAUACCGCAUAAUGCAGCGGCACCUAAUGGUGACAGUUGUUAAAGCGGGGGAUCGAAAGACCUCGCGUCUGAAGAGGAGCCUGCGGCGGAUUAGCUAGUUGGUAAGGUAAUGGCUUACCAAGGCUACGAUCCGUAACCGGCCUGAGAGGGCGGUCGGUCACACUGACACUGACAUACGGGUCAGACUCCUACGGGAGGCAGCAAUCGGGAAUUUUGGGCAAUGGGCGAAAGCCUGACCCAGCAACGCCGCGUGAAGGAUGAAAUCCCUCGGGAUGUAAACUUCGCAAGAACGGGAAGAAUAAGUAGGGGACAAUACCCCCUAUGAUGACGGUACCGUUUGUAAGCUCCGGCUAACUCCGUGCCAGCAGCCGCGGUAAUACGGGGGGAGCAAGCGUUGUUCGGAUUUACUGGGCGUAAAGGGCGCGUAGGCGGCCAGCACAAGUCAGUUGUGAAAUCUCCGAGCUUAACUCGGAAAGGUCAACUGAUACUGUGCGGCUAGAGUGCGGAAGGGGCAACUGGAAUUCUUGGUGUAGCGGUGAAAUGCGUAGAUAUCAAGAGGAACACCUGCGGCGAAGGCGGGUUGCUGGGCCGACACUGACGCUGAGGCGCGAAAGCUAGGGGAGCGAACGGGAUUAGAUACCCCGGUAGUCCUAG